rnacentral:rRNA from 1 species
CAGCCGCCGCGGUAAUACGAAGGGGGCUAGCGUUACUCGGAAUUACUGGGCGUAAAGGGCGCGUAGGCGGCACGAUUAGUCAGGCGUGAAAUUCCUGGGCUCAACCUGGGGACUGCGCUUGAUACGGUCGAGCUAGAGGAUGGAAGAGGGUCGUGGAAUUCCCAGUGUAGAGGUGAAAUUCGUAGAUAUUGGGAAGAACACCGGUGGCGAAGGCGGCGACCUGGUCCUUGACUGACGCUGAGGCGCGAAAGCGUGGGGAGCAAACAGGAUUAGAUACCCGAGUAGUCCCUGUCUCUUAUAC